rnacentral:rRNA from 1 species
UGGUGGGGUAAUGGCCUACCAAGACUGUGAUCAAUAGCUGAUUUGAGAGGAUGAUCAGCCACAUUGGGACUGAGACACGGCCCAAACUCCUACGGGAGGCAGCAGUGGGGAAUCUUGCACAAUGGAGGAAACUCUGAUGCAGCGAUGCCGCGUGAGUGAAGAAGGCCCUUGGGUUGUAAAGCUCUUUCGUCGGGGAAGAAAAUGACUGUACCCGAAUAAGAAGGUCCGGCUA